rnacentral:rRNA from 1 species
GAGAGAGACAUGCGCGCAUAUCAAUAAGCGGAGGAAAAGAAACUAACAAGGAUUCCCCUAGUAACGGCGAGUGAAGCGGGAAGAGCUCAAAUUUGAAAUCUUAAAGGGUUUCCCUUUACGAAUUGUAGUUUAAAGAAGUGUUUUCUGUUGAGGUUUUGGUAAAAGUUCUUUGGAAUAGGACAUCAUAGAGGGUGAGAAUCCCGUAUUUGACCUUUACUUUCAACUUUGUGAUACACUUUCAAAGAGUCGGAUUGUUUGGGAAUGCAGUCCAAAAUGGGUGGUAAAUUUCAUCUAAAGCUAAAUAUUGGCGAGAGACCGAUAGCGAGCAAGUACCGUGAGGGAAAGAUGAAAAGAACUUUGAAAAGAGAGUUAAACAGUACGUGAAAUUGUCAAAAGGGAAGCGUUUGACACCAGUGUUGUUUUUCUGAAAAUCAAUUAAAGAACUGUUUAUGCUAAGUUGUUUAGACUUUAUCAGCUAUCUGUUUAGUUUUGAGCUUUUCUUUAAUGCACUUUUCAGUUAACAAGUCAACAUCAAUUUCUUUUGCUGUAAAAAAGCUUGAGGAAGGUGGCUUGAGAUUCGUCUUAAGUGUUUAUAGCCUCUUGCCUAUGCAGUCGGAGAGAUUGAGGUCUGCAGCGUAGAUCCUUCGGGGCUAAAUGCAUUUGUGCUAAGUUAUAGCAUUUUAUAGACAACUUGUUGACUAUGAUUUGUCUUGUAGCUUACUCGCUUAUGUUAUUUUACCUACGCUUAGGAUGUUGACGCAUGAGAUAUACGC